rnacentral:rRNA from 1 species
AUUGAACGCUGGCGGCAUGUCUUACACAUGCAAGUCGAACGGCAGCAUGGAGAGCUUGCUCUCUGAUGGCGAGUGGCGAACGGGUGAGUAAAGCAUCGGAACGUACCGUGUAGUGGGAGAUAACGUAGCGAAAGUUACGCUAAUACCGCAUACGCACCGAGGUGGAAAGCAGGGGAUCGUAAGACCUUGCGCUAUACGAGCGGCCGAUGUCAGAUUAGCUAGUUGGUAGGGUAAAGGCCUACCAAGGCGACGAUCUGUAGCGGGUCUGAGAGGAUGAUCCGCCACACUGGGACUGAGACACGGCCCAGACUCCUACGGGAGGCAGCAGUGGGGAAUUUUGGACAAUGGGGGCAACCCUGAUCCAGCCAUGCCGCGUGAGUGAAGAAGGCCUUCGGGUUGUAAAGCUCUUUCGGCCGGGAAGAAAUCGCACAGGCUAAUACCCUGUGUGGAUGACGGUACCGGCAUAAGAAGCACUGGCUAACUACGUGCCAGCCGCCGCCGUAA